UAUGAAAGAGAUCAAUGCUCUAAAUCUGAGUUUGAAUGUUUGCUAUUUGUGUACUGUUUAAGUUUAUUCAUUUUUUUUCUUUCACUUUUGUCUGCUACCUUGUUUAUAAUAUAUGGUCAAAUUUGUUAAAAUUCCAUUUAGAUAGAUAGCCAUGUAGAGUAUUUGUGGAAUACAGAAGUAAUAUUCGGUCAGGUUAAACAGUUAGGGAAAUCAUAAAGGACUAACCAGUUCUUGGAGUCUUUGAAAGCAGAAGGGGAGGUUAUCCUUGAAGAUGUGCAGCCAAAAGCAGGCCAAUCUAGAUCAUCUGCCCCACCUUUAACUGAUCCCGUCACUUUGGCUGUUGAGGAGAAACUAAAUGUAACACUGAAACGAGAUGGUGGUGUCAGUAACUUUGAUGUUCAGGGAACACUGUCGCUGCAGAUUCUAAAUGCAGAAGAUGGGCAAAUCCAAGUUCAGGUAUAUUGAGAUGAUUUCUUUGGAGCAAUUUUUGACAACAUUUGUAGUUGAGGCCUUUAGAAUGGAAGAAUGUAUUUCACUAAUUUUUGUAUACAUUUCUUGUUUUGUAUUUAGUGAUAAAGGAAUCUGAAUUGGGCAUAAAUUAUGUUGUAAUAUGAUUUCUUAAGCCUAGACUAGUAGACUAAAUAUUGUAAUUACAUUUGAGUAAUUAAUAAAAAUCUAUUUAUGUUA